UUUUCAUGUUACCGGAAGAGCAGACGCGGUUCCCUUCGGUUGUGUUUCAUGCAAGAGUGUUAAUAUUGAAACCUCCAGUACUGGCCUCCAUAAAUAAGCCAAAGGCUAAAGAGUGAAGAUCGAGUCAGGUAAGAGAGUCACGGAUGGAAUAAAUGUUUACAUGGACGCGUUUCGGAAUAGCGAUCGGCAUAAACCACCCCUCUCGAUCGGAAUACAAUUUCUUACAGAUUGAGCCGAAUUGGAUCAGAAUCUCCCGAUCGACAUGUUUACAUGAUGCAUUUUUAUUCCGAUUAUUUGUGCCUAUGUUAACGCAGCUUCUGAUUUAUACUUCACAUAGAAGGGUGUCACAUAGGUGUCAUAAUCCUGUGUAGUCUUUUUUUUUCUUUUCAAAGUUGACACAGCAGCAUUGCAGCAAUUUUAGUUCAAAGCUUGAAAAUGGCACCAAAAUGUCGCACAUAAAAGAUUUGACAGUCUGUAGGAGUUUACUUGCUUGCAAUUUCUUUCCAAAACAGUAGACUGAAGACAUUUGUGACAUUAAAGACUUUUACUUUUUACACUUUUCUGUCUUAAAGAUAAAGAUGUGUGAUUUUCCAUGAUUUAAAAUACUAAGAUGAAGAAACAUGUCACACUAAAAUGAAAAGAAUCUGGAAAGCUGUUUGCAACACAGUCCAGAUUGUAACAGAAGUCUAAUUUCUGACCAGGCCCAUGUGCAGUUAUAGUUUGAGAGUUUGGGUUAGCACUCAGGAUGGCCAAUCAGAUUUUAAAACCCAUGCCACGCUCUUUGCACAAAAGCAAAAUAAACAUGCUGCAAGAAAAAUGCAUCUAUUUUGAGUUUUGUUCCAGUCUUUCGGACUGGAACAACUCAAAGCGCUUGUAUUCAUUCAUCCCCACUACACUUAUACACUGAUGGUAGAGACUGCUAUAGCUUAAACUAAUCUCAUUCAUACAAGAGAUGACUGACUACUUUGUCACAGUGAACUGUAGCUCUAUCUCCCUCACAGGAAUUUGUUUCAAACCUAAACAAAAUCAUUAGUAUUUUUUGUGAUGCUCACUCAACUUGAACUUUGUUCACAGUUCUACUAAAUUAAGCAGAUGGUUUGUCUUUUUUAUUUUAUUUUUGGAGCUUUUAUGCCUUAAUUUAGAGAGGAAGUACAGUGGGUAGAGUGGGAAACUGGGAGGAUAGAGUGGGAAGUGACAUGCAGCAAUGGACCACAGGUUGGACUCAAACGAAGCAGCCUGCUGUGAGGAUGACAGCCUCUGUAUGUUAAGCCAAACUGGUCUAGCAGAUGGAUGAUUCUUGUCUGUGGGACACUUCUGUACGUGGCUGAGAUGUUAGCCAGAAAGCCAACAGUACUGAUACCCUGCAGCCAGUCAGAAUGGAGUAUUUACCAAGACCAUGGUACAAGGUGAAAACUGAGCUUCUCCAAAAAACAAUUUUAGGAGUAUUUUUUUAAAACAUUAACUUAAUCUCCGUUCAAAUGUCCUCAAGCAGCCAUAGCAGUGGUAGACUUUUGGGGAUGUUUGAGGACAGCACAAACCUUGGACCGGGCACAGGCUGCAUUUCCCGAUGGUUGAGCUGCAAGAGGAGCAAAGUAAACAAAGCCAGGACAGAAACAGAAGAUAUAGUAGAAUGGAUUAAAAUGAAGUUACUCCCAAUAUCCCCCUUGAGACGUGAAGAAGCCAAGUUUUCAACCAUCCAGUGCUUAAAGUCAGAGAGGGCAGAGAGGUUGUAGAGUUCCUGCAGCUGCACAGAAAGCACCAGCAAACCUGCAACUCACUUGAGGAAAAAAAAGGAGAUUUAUCCCCAUUUGUCAGUACUGUACUCAAACUGUUUCUCAUACUUCUCAUCCUUAUUGGAUUUGGAUGGCUGCUUGCACACUUUGGAAACUGACUCCCCAAACCUCACCCAGUCCCUGUUAAUAAUCUAUCACCCUGCUGUGGUCCCAGUGAAGUCUCAAUCUUCUUUCCAAAUAAACGCUUCGCCACCUUCCUACUAAACUGCUUCAGCAAUAACAGUUUAUCUGACAGGUCAGUAAUUCACAUGUGUUAUUAGGAAAAGUGGUGCACCUUGGGAUCAGCGCACAGAUGCGUCAUUGUGGCUUCAGAAGAUGUUGGCACUGGCUGAUAGAAUAAGCUAGUUGGAAAGGAUUUAUUGGUGCAGCAACAUGAGACUGAGAAUCUCUGUUUCUUCUCUCCUUUUCCAUGAUUGUGUUUCUCUUUCUCUUCUCUGCUGUUGUUAUUCAGCGUACCUCAUUGAAGUGUACCGCUACCCCUGAGAGGUGCAGAUUUCAUGUCAUAAAGUAGGCAACAUCAGACAAAUAAACCAACUUUUGUAGAAGAAAAAAGCUGAAAUUAUGAAAUGUGGAAAGUGAAAGUAGAAGGCCGAGCGACUUUUAAAUACUGUCUCCUUAUCUCUUCUUUACACUUAAAUUUUCUCUUCCUCAGGCCUCUGCCAUUCUCCAUCUCUCCACUAGAGGUCGUUUUCCUAGCUUAACACCUGUCUCCAGUUUCAAACAGCCCUGCAAUCACCUGACGCACUCUACCUCACCUGCUCACCACUUCACUUAUCAGUCUCAUGUUACACAACACCUUCUCUUUUAUAUGGCUGUUAGUUUUCGUUCUUUCACAUGGUUUUAUGUUUCUCUCGGAACACGUCUUUGUCCUGGACCAGCUUUUUGCCCAUGUCUUGUUCCCUAUUCAUCCUUAAAAAGCACAACAUGAGCUGUGUUUACAAAGACCGCUUAUAUCAGGAAACAUAGCAAAAUAUGGGAGUCAAACUAUUCUUACUGUACACGUCUGCUCACAAGUUGCAACUUUAGUUAUUAGCAGAAUUCACAGAAAAAUAAAGAAAGCAAAGAAAAAGUUGUCUGUUGGCAAAACAACAGGAUAGCUGAAAGUCUUGAUGGCCAAAAGACAAAUAAAACACAGACAUCAAAUGUUAUAGAGAUGAGAGUGGAGGAGAAUUUAAUCUUUGGUGCAGGUGCAAGCAGGAUAGAAGUAUGCAGACAGACAAAGGGGCCAAUUUCAUCUGUUAUUUUCAACACUUUGGAACAACAAAACAUCCCUGUGCAUGUUCCUUUUGUUUGAUGCAUGUACAUCUUAAUCAGAUCACUUUAUUCGGUGUCCAAAUCUUUGCCAGUGAGUUGUUUAGAUAUAUUGCUUAAAGGUUUAAGAAGUUUAAAUGUAAGUUCCAGAUAUCAUAUCAAAACUUAAACAAGGUGUAAGUUGAAGUAAAAUAAAGGCAGAGUUGAUGUGGGGUCUUAUUGACUGCUGGAGUAUGCAUGCAAGGGCCAGUGGGUGUAAAGAUGUCCGUGAACAUUGCAAUCGCAAAGGCCUCUGUAUCCACCCAAGAAACAAGCAAAGUUGGAAGUGUGAGGGAUUUUCAGCUACACUUAAACUGACCAAGGAGUGAUUCAAUACCAUAGAUUUGCUAAAUCUGCUGCAAAAAAAAUGCAGAAAAAGAGUCAAACAUACCAAACCUGAUGCAGGAUCUGCAGGAUUACCAUCUAGCUCUACAUAUUCAAGUAAAAGUAAUGAGGUGAAGCCUGAGAGCUAGUUCAGGCAGGCAACUUGAGCGACACUGUUGGCAUGUGUUGUUUCCAAUCAGGCUUUUUGUAGGAUUUCUGGUCUCCGCCACUGCCCUGUUUAAGUUCUGCACUCACAUUUUCAGCAUCACCUGCAGACUACGCCACCAUCCGCGUCAAUCCUUAACCUUUGCUCAGCCUCUGCUAGUGAUUGACAAGCCGGGUAAAGGCUAGCAGCAGGUUUUCUAAUCCAUUAUAAUAUCUCUUACUCGUCAUCCUGCUGAUGUGUCGUUUUAAACCUCCACCAAUCAUCUGCUUGGCACCGCUGAGUCAAUUAGACUGAUUUUUCCCAUGCAUGCAAACGUGUUCCCAGCCAGUUCCAGGUAAUGUGCGCGCCUGUUAGGGCAGCCUGCACUGAUGAAGCAAAUGAAAAGAGCACAGGAAGUGGUUUGAAAACCUCAUGCAAUGUGAGACACGGUAACCCUUCCUGCCAACGCGCAGUACAGCGCAUUAAACAUUUUCGAGCUUGAAAAGAUUUUUCUGCAGCUGCUCGUUUAACAAAUGAUCCCCCUUAAAGCCUUCUGUGGGAACUUUGCUUUAGCUUGUUUUCCCCGUGUAUAAAUGUCUUUUACUGGCUUACAUUCUGCACUCUGAGCCGGAGAGAUAAAACCUGAAGCAUCUGCCCAACAUAUCAGAGCAUUUUCACCUCCCAUGCAAUGUUUUACCAGCUCUCUCCUAUCCUCAUAGCCCCGAAAUUUUAAAGCAAGAACAAAUAGUACAAGAAAAUGUCAGCCUUUUUCAGCAUCAUAUAAAUAUGUAUAUGUAUAUUUUUUUCUUGCCAGUUCUUGUUUUAAUUUAUGGAGUACUGUGGCGAAACCUCCCCUCUCUUUAGUUCGUGCACACCACUCUGCUCCCUGUCUGUUCAGUCAAGCCAAAGUCAACCUUCUCAUAUUAGGAUUCAGAUGUAGCCCUGACAUGUUUUCUCUUCCCCCUCUCUCUCAGCCUUUGAUACUCGGGAUGUGGGACUUUGCAAAUGACACUCCUUUAAUCGAAAGCAAAAACUGAGGAUCAAAGAGCUGGAUAAGCACUCGUGUCAGACCUAUUGGACAGAAGGAGAAGCUGAAACAACAAAGCAACAUGAGAUAAGCUGGUGUUUGACAGACACUGUGCAAAAUAAACUGUCAAACAAUCAAAGCAGGCUAUUUUAAUUAAA
rnacentral:lncRNA from 1 species